rnacentral:rRNA from 1 species
AUUGAACGCUGGCGGCAGGCCUAACACAUGCAAGUCGAGCGAGCGGCGGACGGGUGAGUAAUGUUUGGGGACUGCCCGAUAGAGGGGGAUAACUACUGGAAAUGGUCGCUAACACCGCAUACUCUCGUAUAACCCAGAUGGGAUUAGCUAGUAGGCGGGGUAAAGGCUCACCUAGGCGACGAUCUCUUGCUGGUCUGAGAGGAUGAUCAGCCACACUGGGACUGAGACACGGCCCAGACUCCUACGGAGGCAGCAGUGGGGAAUAUUGCACAAUGGGCGCAAGCCUGAUGCAGCCAUGCCGCGUGUAUGAAGAAGGCCUUCGGGUUGUAAAGUACUUUCAGUCGGGAGGCGUUACCGGCAGAAGAAGCACCGGCUAACUCCGUGCCAGCAGCCGCGGUAAUUC